CCAAACCGGCCAGCUCCGACCGAGAGACCCUUACGGGCCCUCGUGCGCGAACGGGUUGAAGUCACACGUCGAGGAACCCGCCCGCGCACCGGGAAUACGCUCCUGGAAACGGAGAACAAAUCCCCGAUGUACAGGAAGGAGGCAUCCUUCUUUCUGUGAAACAUCCUUUUCGGGGAUCGGGGCGCGGAUGGACCUGCGGUGCAUUAGUUUGGUCGGCGGGGUAAAGGCCCACCAAGACGAUGAUGCAUAGCCGGCCUGAGAGGGCGGACGGCCACAUUGGGACUGAGACACGGCCCAGACUCCUGCGGGAGGCAGCAGUAGGGAAUUUUCGUCAAUGGGCGCAAGCCUGAACGAGCGAUGCCGCGUGAGUGAAGAAGGCCUUCGGGUCGUAAAGCUCUGUUGCGGGGGAAAAAAGGCAGCAUCAGGAAAUGGGUGCUGACUGAUGGUGCCCCGCCAGAAAGUCACGGCUAACUACGUGCCAGCAGCCGCGGUAAUACGUAGGUGGCGAGCGUUAUCCGGAAUGAUUGGGCGUAAAGGGUGCGCAGGCGGUCCUGCAAGUCUGGAGUGAAACGCAUGAGCUCAACUCAUGCAUGGCUUUGGAAACUGGAGGACUGGAGAGCAGGAGAGGGCGGUGGAACUCCAUGUGUAGCGGUAAAAUGCGUAGAUAUAUGGAAGAACACCAGUGGCGAAGGCGGCCGCCUGGCCUGUUGCUGACGCUGAGGCACGAAAGCGUGGGGAGCAAAUAGGAUU
rnacentral:rRNA from 1 species